AUUGCUUAUCAGCCUUUUGGCUAAGAUCAAGUUUAGUAUCUGUUCUUAUCAGUUUAAUAUAAUAUUGUGAAGUUAGCAAUAAUUGGCAUCAAAGCUAUUUAUAGAAAUUUUGAAGAUACAUCCAUU
rnacentral:snRNA from 1 species